GUGAGGAAUAUUCCGCAAUGGGGGAAACCCUGACGGAGCAAUGCCGCGUGCAGGAUGAAGGCCCUCGGGUCGUAAACUGCUUUUAUAUGAGAAGAAUAUGACGGUAACAUAUGAAUAAGGGACGGCUAACUACGUGCCAGCAGCCGCGGUCAUACGUAGGUCCCAAGCGUUAUCCGGAGUGACUGGGCGUAAAGAGUUGCGUAGGCGGCUCGUUAAGCGUGAAAUGAAAUUUAUCGGCUCAACCGGUAAACUAUUUCGCGAACUGACGGGCUCGAGAGUAUGAGAGGUUACUGGAAUUUCUAGUGUAGCAGUGAAAUGCGUAGAUAUUAGAAAGAACACCAACGGCGUAGGCAGGUAACUGACAUACAUCUGACGCUGAGGCACGAAAGCGUGGGGAGCGAACCGGAUUAGAUACCCGUGUAGUCC
rnacentral:rRNA from 1 species